GUUCUUUGUCGAAAAUUUCUUCUUCCUUCUCGACUCGACGCUCAGCUCUCUCAGCCAACUAGCCACGUCAGUCUUAGCCUGUCAAUCUCAAAUCUUGGCGUCAACCACUUCGAAUCUUGAAGCGGGUGUUCGCUGUCAUCUCAGAUAGACCUCCUCUUCCUCAACCGACCCGCUCCCUCUGCUGCUCCUGAGAAAGAGAAGGGGAAGGAAGAAUACAAGGAUGUAAGUUUUAAUCAAUUGGUUCGACCUCUGUCAAUGUUGGCAUUUUUAAUCACCCAACUAUGCUUCUGGCUACUGGCUACAGAAGUCACUACUAGAAGAAAAUGAACAAAAUAUGCGUUGUCACUCAUAUGCAAUUGUGCUCUCAUCACUCUCAUCCUCAAUCGGGUGCUGGGCCUGAUUAUCAACUAUCUGGUCAUCGACCACUUGCAAAUCCAUGGGGUCCUCAAACAUUGGUCGAUUCAUGGGGUCCUCAUCUUCAACUGCUGGCGGAUUCACUAGGUCCUCGUCCUGUGGAAGAUUCUCAAAUGGAAUUGGAUGGGCUUCUACUGGCAGAUCAUCAAUCCGGUGCAAGUAAAAAUAUAUGGCGUCUAUGCUUUCAAUCAUCAUACUCAUGACCUCCUCCCAAGGCCUCUGAUUGACACCAUGAGUAUUCUCAUAUAAAACAAUAUUAUGAAAUUCAUACCAGUAGUCGUAGUCGUCUAGAACAUCAUGCUCUAGUAAUGGAUUACCUUUUAGCAACAGUAAUAGCAUCCUCCAGCUCUUAGACACUUUGAUGGUUUGCAAUAUUAAUCUGUCCUAUGUAAUGAUCCAUUCCA